rnacentral:rRNA from 1 species
GACGAACGCUGGCGGCGUGCUUAACACAUGCAAGUCGAACGGAAAGGCCCUGCUUUUGUGGGGUGCUCGAGUGGCGAACGGGUGAGUAACACGUGAGUAACCUGCCCUUGACUUUGGGAUAACUUCAGGAAACUGGGGCUAAUACCGGAUAGGAGCUCCUGCUGCAUGGUGGGGGUUGGAAAGUUUCGGCGGUUGGGGAUGGACUCGCGGCUUAUCAGCUUGUUGGUGGGGUAGUGGCUUACCAAGGCUUUGACGGGUAGCCGGCCUGAGAGGGUGACCGGCCACAUUGGGACUGAGAUACGGCCCAGACUCCUACGGGAGGCAGAAGUGGGGAAUAUUGCACAAUGGGCGGAAGCAUGAUGCAGCAACGCCGCGUGCGGGAUGACGGCCUUCGGGUUGUAAACCGCUUUCGCCUGUGACGAAGCGUGAGUGACGGUAAUGGGUAAAGAAGCACCGGCUAACUACGU